AUACAAAUUGCCUGGGGUUCUUGUUAAAAUACAGAUUCUGAUUCAGAAGGUCAGGGGUGAUGCCAUAGAUCCUGGUUCUAACAGGUUUCCAGGUUUAAUAU
rnacentral:pre_miRNA from 1 species